rnacentral:rRNA from 1 species
AAGUCGUAACAAGGUCUCCGUAGGUGAACCUGCGGAGGGAUCAUUACAGAGUUUUUGCCCGCAAGGGUAGAUCUCCCACCCUAUGUUAUAUCAUCUAUGUUGCUUUGGCGGGCCGUCCGGCCUAGGUCAGGCCACCGGCUCCGGCUGGUGAGCGCCCGCCAGAGGACCCAAACCCUAUAUAUUAGUGUCGUCUGAGUACUAUAUAAUAGUUAAAACUUUCAACAACGGAUCUCUUGGUUCUGGCAUCGAUGAAGAACGCAGCGAGAUGCGAUAAGUAAUGUGAAUUGCAGAAUUCAGUGAAUCAUCGAAUCUUUGAACGCACAUUGCGCCCCCUGGUAUUCCGGGGGGCAUGCCUGUUCGAGCGUCAUUACAACCCUCAAGCUAUGCUUGGUAUUAGGCUUCGCCGCUCACCCGGCGGGCCUUAAAAUCAGUGGCGGUGCCGUCGAGGCCCUGAGCGUAGUAAAUUUCCUCGCUAUAGGGACCCGGCGGAUGCUGGCCAUCAACCCCCAACUUUCUAAGUUUGACCACGGAUCAGGUAGGGAUACCCGCUGAACUUAA